CCCUGAAAAAAAAAAAAAAGGAAGAGAGGAACGUUUGGCUUUCCGUGGAGGUUGAAGCAUCUGCGCCUUGUGUUGGUUGCACCAAAACAUCGCAAUGUAUUGAAACAGUUGUGGAUCCGGGCGGGAGGCAGACUGCACUGGAUAAUACAGAACACUGGACGAAUGAAGGUUGGGAAAAAGAGACAGAAUCAAAUCAAGUUGGCUGGUGGGCCGGUGGACAGCUAAAGCUGUAUGGCCUUGUUUCUCUUUCUGGGAAAUCUUUAAAGUGUCACAAAGCAAUCUGUUGUAAAGUCCUGCUUUGAGAAGAAUCAAGCAAGAAGUUUGGUUUGGCAUGAUCAUCAUCAUCACCAGCACCCUCAUCGGGCCUUUAUCUUACAGCUGCAUGUUCAUUAAUGUAUUUUGCUUUUGUCUCCCUUUUCAAUUUGUGCUGAGGAAAACACAUUUUUUCCUCAAAUAGUUUGCUUUUAUUGCCUUGCUGAUACUUUGCCCCUUAUGCUGGGAGUCUUUGCAUUGUGUUGUGAUUGCCUCCACAUUUAUUAGAAACAAAUCUGGUCUCUGCC